GGUUGUGAAUUUAAACAGAGACUGGCCUGUCUCCAGCCACAAUCAGCUGAGCAGGUGCAGGCAUGGAUUAGGCAGAGAGCUGGAGUUUUGCCAAGCAAGGAAGACAAGGUGAGAGAGGGCCCAUGGAGUGAAGGGUCUAACCAAGGGAGCAAUUAUCAUGAUGAACUACGAAGGCUGAGCUGUUACAGAAGAGCGAUGACACGAUGGGGCUGUGGGACCUUGAAAAGGUGGCGGAUCAACAGAUCGAGGUUCCCUGGGCUGGCAAAGGAUUGCUGGAGUCAUGGUACCAGAGGAAGUGAGCUGGCGUGAGAGGAGGUGGAGGCCAGAGAGUGAAAUUCUUAACUUGGAGACUGUAGCCACCGUGUCCUGAGUCCUCAAAUCCAAUUUACAGAAAGGCCUUUGACUAACAGAGGGCAGGCUAAUAAAAAUGUUACUGUAUUCCUGGAAGUUAAUGAAUAAUAAAACCACAUGCCUGGAAGCAACUUCAAGAGGUCCUAGUUCAGAUGAUUUUACAUUCUCCCACCAAUUCUGAACAUCUUGGGGAAGAAAAUGCCACCACCCAGUGUUAUCGUGAUGGAAACACCCCUUUGACACCCACUACUGGGACUGCACUGCGUCAGACCUGAAGCCAUUACAGCACUGGGCCUUGCACAGGGCCCUUUGGUUGAGGGUGGCAACCUCCUCCAGUUCCUGCAUGUGUCCAGAUGCUACACUAAGAAAAUAAGACAUUAAAACAACAACAAUGCUUUUCCAAACAACCGCAAUAAAAUUUUCUUUAUUUAUUUCA